rnacentral:rRNA from 1 species
GAUGAACGCUAGCGGCAGGCUUAAUACAUGCAAGUCGAACGGGAUUCAGGGUAGCAAUACUUUGAUGAGAGUGGCGCACGGGUGCGUAACGCGUAUGCAACCUACCUUUAACAGGGGAAUAGCCCCGAGAAAUCGGGAUUAAUACUCCGUAACAUUGCGGGAUGGCAUCAUUCUGCAAUUAAAGAUUUAUCGGUUAAAGAUGGGCAUGCGUGACAUUAGCUUGUUGGUGAGGUAACGGCUCACCAAGGCAACGAUGUCUAGGGGUCCUGAGAGGGUUACCCCCCACACUGGUACUGAGACACGGACCAGACUCCUACGGGAGGCAGCAGUAAGGAAUAUUGGUCAAUGGGCGCAAGCCUGAACCAGCCAUGCCGCGUGCAGGAAGACGGCCCUAUGGGUUGUAAACUUCUUUUGGAUGGGAACAAUAACUCCGACUUGUCGGAACUUGAGGGUACCAUCAGAAUAAGCACCGGCUAACUCCGUGCCAGCAGCCGCGGU